rnacentral:rRNA from 1 species
UACGUAGGUGGCAAGCGUUGUCCGGAUUUACUGGGCGUAAAGAGCGCGCAGGCGGCUGUUCAAGUCGCGUGUGAAAGCCCCCGGCUCAACUGGGGAGGGUCACGCGAUACUGAUCGACUCGAAGGCAGGAGAGGGAAGUGGAAUUCCCGGUGUAGUGGUGAAAUGCGUAGAUAUCGGGAGGAACACCAGUGGCGAAGGCGACUUCCUGGCCUGUUCUUGACGCUGAGGCGCGAAAGCUAGGGGAGCAAACGGG